UACAGAGGGUGCAAACGUUGUUCGGAAUCACUGGGCAUAAAGCGCACGUAGGCUGUCCCGUAAGUGUGGAGUGAAAUCCCCACGGCUUAACCGUGGAACUGCUUGGCAUACUGCGGGACUCGAGGACGGUAGGGGAGAGCGGAACUCCUGGUGGAGCGGUGAAAUGCGUAGAUAUCAGGAGGAACACCGGUGGCGAAGGCGGCUCUCUGGUCCGUUUCUGACGCUGAUGUGCGAAAGCCAGGGUAGCGAACGGG
rnacentral:rRNA from 1 species